rnacentral:rRNA from 1 species
UACGUAGGAUGCAAGCGUUGUCCGGAUUUAUUGGGUUUAAAGGGUGCGUAGGCGGCUGUUUAAGUCGUGGGUGAAAGCUGGUAGCUCAACUAUCAAAAUGCCUGCGAUACUGGACAGCUUGAAUGAAGUAGAGGUAACUGGAAUGGGUGGUGUAGCGGUGAAAUGCAUAGAUACCAUCCGGAACACCGAUUGCGUAGGCAAGUUACUAUGUUUCAAUUGACGCUGAGGCACGAAAGUGUGGGGAGCAAACAGG